GCUGAUAUGGCCUAGUUGGUCUAAGGCGCCAGAUUAAGGUUCUGGUCUGAAAGGGCGUGUCUGAAAGGGCGUGGGUUCAAAUCCCACUGUCAACA